AGCACGUUAUGGUGGGCGACUCUAAGGAGACUGCCGGUGGCAAACCGGAGGAAGGUGGGGAUGACGUCAAGUCAUCAUGGCCCUUACGGCCUGGGCUACACACGUGCUACAAUGGUCGGUACAAAGGGUUGCCAAGCCGCGAGGUGGAGCUAAUCCCAUAAAACCGAUCGUAGUCCGGAUCGCAGUCUGCAACUCGACUGCGUGAAGUCGGAAUCGCUAGUAAUCGUGAAUCAGAAUGUCACGGUGAAUACGUUCCCGGGCCUU
rnacentral:rRNA from 1 species